AUCCAUAGUUAUACCAUCCUGAACGUGCCUGAUCUCAUCUGAUCUUGGAAGCUAAGCAGGGUUGAGCCUGGUUAUUACUUGGAUG
rnacentral:rRNA from 1 species